rnacentral:rRNA from 1 species
GAUGAACGCUGGCGGCGUGCCUAAUACAUGCAAGUCGAGCGAACAGAUGAGAAGCUUGCUUCUCUGAUGUUAGCGGCGGACGGGUGAGUAACACGUGGGUAACCUACCUAUAAGACUGGGAUAACUCCGGGAAACCGGGGCUAAUACCGGAUAAUAUUUUGAACCGCAUGGUUCGAUAGUGAAAGACGGUUUCGGCUGUCACUUAUAGAUGGACCCGCGCCGUAUUAGCUGGUUGGUAAGGUAACGGCUUACCAAGGCGACGAUACGUAGCCGACCGGAGAGGGUGAUCGGCCACACUGGAACUGGGACACGGUCCAGACUCCGACGGGAGGCAGCAGUAGGGAAUCUUCCGCAAUGGGCGAAAGCCUGACGAAGCAACGCCGCGUGAGUGAUGAAGGUCUUCGGAUCGUAAAACUCUGUUGUUAGGGAAGAACAAAUUUGUUAGUAACUGAACAAGUCUUGACGGUACCUAACCAGAAAGCCACGGCUAACUACGUGCCAGCCGCCGCGGUAA